GAAUCUUGCGCAAUGGCCGAAAGGCUGACGCAGCGACGCCGCGUGCGGGAGGAAGCCCUUCGGGGUGUAAACCGCUGUCACCGGGGACGAAUGGUGUGAGGGCAAACAGUCUUCACGCGUGACGGUACCCGGGGAGGAAGCGCCGGCUAACUCCGUGCCAGCAGCCGCGGUAAGACGGAGGGCGCGAGCGUUGUUCGGAAUUACUGGGCGUAAAGCGCGCGCAGGCGGACUCGUGCGUCGGGAGUGAAAGCCCGGGGCUCAACCCCGGUGUUUACUCUCGAUACGGCGGGUCUAGGGACCGGUAGAGGCCGGUGGAAUUCCCGGUGUAGCGGUGGAAUGCGUAGAGAUCGGGAAGAACACCAGUGGCGAAGGCGGCCGGCUGGGCCGGAGAGCCCUCUUACGGGAGGGUGUCCGACGCUCAUGCGCGAAAGCGUGGGGAGCAAAC
rnacentral:rRNA from 1 species